rnacentral:lncRNA from 1 species
AUGGUGCUGGAUUGGCACAAGGUCAGGUACCACCAGAGCAGAAUGUGGGAAGGUGUCCCAGCAAGCGCAGCUGCCUCCGGGAGUCCGGUGAUGUGGCCCCCUCAGCUGGCCAGCUCAGAGCUCUGUGUUGGGUUCAGGACGGGCUGGUAGCCCCAAGCGCCUGAAAACCCAGGAAGAGGAUGGUGUGGCUUGCUUCGCCGAGGUUAUCCUGGGGCUCAUCCUGCCGCAGAAGUAACUCCUCCUGUGUGGGCGGGGCCGCCACCAAAGGCUGCCUGAUUCAGAGCACUCAGGGAGUCCUUUCGUCAGGGGGAACCCCUCCACAUCCUACCAAUCCCUUUCUAGAAGAAAUAGCUUCUCUAGAAAAGGAAGCCUGCAGCUUUAAGGCUGAUUCCAAAGAUAGUUCUCGUAACUCCAUGAACUCUUAAUUUGCAACUGAAGCUGAGAGUCAGAAUGAUACGACUGAGGAACCCAACAAGGUCCAGAAAAGGAAGACGGAUAGACUUCGACAUCAGGGCUCCACAAUGAUCUACCUGGAGGCUAACCAGGGCAUCCAGGGAAAUCAAUGCCGAAAAGGAAGGGAGAGGCUGUCACUAGUUCAAAACCAAGCAUAGCAGAGUGUCCCAGUUGUGGAGAAGGACCAGCUAGGAGUGAAGGACCAGCCAAGACUGAGAAGGAACAGCCAGGAGUGUCACAGUCACCCCUGCUGAGAAGGAUAGUCAAUCCCAGAGGUCAGUGGAGAAGGACAAGACAGUGCCAGAGAGGAGCAGCUUCUGUGACAGGAGAGUAGUCACAGACCCUCAGGAGAAACCCACUGAGGAGCCCCUUGGGGACCAAAGGACAGUCACUGACAAAUGCUCUCCACCCCUCGAGUUUCUGGAUGACUCUCUCAUUUAGAAAUCCGAAAGCAUAAAGAUAGGGAGGUGGUGAUGGAGCACCCCUCUUCAGGAAGCAACUGGUCUGAUCUGGAGAUCUCCACGGUCAGAUUCUCUCAGGAGGAACCCGUCCCACUGAAACCCUCAGCCAUUCCAGAGCCUUCUUCCUUCACUACUAUGUCAUGUACCUGCCUCAUUUUUACAGUAGUCCUUGGUGUGAGUAUGUCAGCUAGUGCACCAGCAGCCCCAAGCCUGCCGGCUACCUGUCUGUGAGCAGCAGCAGCAAUGACGCAGCACAGGCUGGGAGGAGCAGCCCGAGUGCCUGAGUGAUUCUUCCCCCAACUCUGCAGUGAGCGCCCAUAACGUCUCCAGAGAUGUGGAGGCCUCAGAGGAAGGCAGCUCCCAGAAUUCUCACUCAUUUCACUUCUCCAGAAGCUCGGGAGGAAAAGAGGUGAAGCAAAGAAGAACAUUCCAAGAGGAGAUGCCUCUGUGUCCUUGUGGAGGACACACAUCCAGCUCCCUGCCAAAGAGCCACUGGGAGCCAAGCCUAGAGCAGGGCUUCACUGAUACCCACUGUCAUUUGGAUAUGCUGUAUUCCAAGUUGUCUUUCAAAGGGACCUUGACUAAGUUCAGAAGAAUUUACAGCAGCUCCUUCUCUAAGGAAUUUCAGGGUUGCAUCUCUGACCUCUGCCACCCUCACCCUGACAAAUUGCCUACGGGGGGAGCUGUUGAAAGAGAAUCUGGUCUGGGGGGCCUUUGGCUGUCACCCUCAUUUUCCAUGUUACUACAAUAAGAGUCAGGAAAGAAAUCUUUUACAAGCCUUAAGGCACCCCACGACUGUGGCAUUUGGAGAAACAGGCUUCAAUUACUCCUACAAGUGCACCAUGCCUGUCCCAGAACAUCACAAGGUAUUUAAGAGACAGCUUGAGCUGGCUGCGUCUCUAGAGAAGCUUUGGUGAUCCUCUGCCAGCAAGCUGACGAGGAUCUGCUGGACACCAUGAGAAAAUGUGUGUUCUCUGACUACAAGAUACACAAGCAUUGCUUCACUGCAGCUACCUGGCCAUGGAACCCCUGCUGAAGUACUUUCCCAACGUCGGUGGGCCUCAUGGCAGUCCUGACGUACUCCUCCACCUGAGAAGCCCGGGAAGUGCUGAGGCAGAUCCCACUGGAGAGAAUCAUCAUGGAAACGGAUGCUCCCUACUUCCUCCCUAGCCGGGUUCCCAAAAGCCUUUGCCAGUAUGCCCACCUGGGCCUGGCCUUGCAUACAGUCCUGGAGACUGCCAGAGUCAAAGAUCUAGUCUCCCACACCCUGGCCACUUUGCGUGAGAACACCAGUUGCCUCUACAGUCUUUAA